UAGUAUGGGGAUCUGCCCGAUAGAGGGGGGUAACUACUGGAAACGGUGGCUAAUACCGCAUAAUGUCUACGGACCAAAGCAGGGGCUCUUCGGACCUUGCACUAUCGGAUGAACCCAUAUGGGAUUAGCUAGUAGGUGGGGUAAAGGCUCACCUAGGCGACGAUCUCUAGCUGGUCUGAGAGGAUGAUCAGCCACACUGGGACUGAGACACGGCCCAG
rnacentral:rRNA from 1 species